GUUGUUAAAGGAAGUCUUUGGAGUACUUGCCUUCCUGUGUUGUUAAUGAAACAAAGAAGGCCUAUUUUUCAGAAUGCUUGUGACGGAACUUCGACAUGGCAUCUGCUACUCAUUAUUCAGUUGCAAUUUCCAUUUCUGGAAUUCUAAAGUUUGUCUGAAAUUGCUAGUGACAUUUGUAAAACGCUUGCAAAAUUUUUAAAUGGACCCUAGAGAUCACCAAGUCCUUGCCCGCUCAUUUAAGAUGAGGAAACAAAGAUUAAGAAAGGUUAAGUGACUUGCCCAGGGUUUGACUUCUUCCGAUGACUUCUGUAGAAUGUGGAAGCUUUCCUUGAACUCUGAGAACAGUAGAUUCUUUGAUCAAAGAGCUAUAACUACUGCCUCAUUUGUGAGUUAAAAGCAUUCCAGGGAGAUGAAGACAUCUGCCUUGUAUUUUCACAUUGCAGAAGGAAAGUUCAGGACAGGAAGAACAAAAACGAAGGAAAACAAUGUUUCAAGCUGAAUUCAAGCCAGGUUUGAAGACCACUAUAUGACUUUCAUAUCUGUAAAAGUUUUCAAGAAAAAAAUAUUCUCCAUGCUCAUAUCCUUAUUUUAUAGUUACGCAACCAAAUAUCUAUUACACUUUGUAUAAAUAUUGAAAAUUA